rnacentral:rRNA from 1 species
CCUACGGGAGGCAGCAGUGGGGAAUAUUGGACAAUGGGGGCAACCCUGAUCCAGCAAUGCCGCGUGUGUGAAGAAGGCCUGCGGGUUGUAAAGCACUUUCAGUAGGAAAGAAAUCCUGAAGGUUAAUAAUCUUCAGGCUUGACAGUACUUACAGAAGAAGCCCCGGC